GCUGCGUAUGUCAAGACAGAAAAAAAGUUUAUUCAGAACUCUAUCAGUGAGGUACCCAGAAUGGAAUUCCAGCUAUCAUUAACUAUUUUCCACUGUAGGAAAGAAAGAAAGAAAGAAAGAAAGAAAGUGAAAUAAACUAGGUUGAAUGCUUAAAAUACACAAUCAAAUUUAAUAAAAAAAUGUAAUGCUCAAAAUCACAAAUAUUGACAUGUAUGCGUGUAUGCGUGUACUGAAUUAGGAAUUAGGUUGAAUGAAUUGUGACCGAAUAAGCUUAAAGGGAAACUAUAGUGACAGGAAAACAGUGUAGUGUCCCUUUCCAUCAAGCCCCCUCCCCUUCUGUCACCUACCUGAGUCCAAUGGCGAUUUCCGCGGGUGCUGGUACUGACUCAGCCACUACUCCUCCCCGGUCGUGCUCGCAUUAGUAUUUACCCCAUAGGAAAGCAUGCAUAAUGCUUUCCUGUGGGGUUUUACAUGAUGUUGGAAAUAAAAAUGCAUAGCGUGAGGACGUCCAGAGUCAGUUAAAAACUGAAAUAAUUACCUUUGCAAGGUUAAGAGACCUGGGACACUGCACCUAGACCACUUACAUGAAAUGGUACUUAUAGUGUCCCUUUAACACAUGAUGGAAAUAUUCCGUCAUGAUUCCCUUUUAUUCCAGAAGUUGUGUCUUUAAGGGGUUAAUUAAAG